AGCUCGGUAGUGUAGGGGUUAUCACGUUGGGCUCAUAACCCAAAGGUCAGCGGAUCGAAACCGCUCCGAGCUA
rfam:Ceraceosorus bombacis genome assembly, contig: Scaffold_393